rnacentral:lncRNA from 1 species
AGGUCAACGAUCGGAGUUCUCUUUGAAGUUAAAAGCGCACUCGUCCAUCGUUUUUCGCGCCGUGCGCGCAGUCACGAUUAAAUGCUAGUCGGAGUGAAAAAAAAUCUCGAGUCGUUCGAGCGAAAGUAGAGAAGGUCGUUAAGUUCAUCCGGAGGAGUGUGGGCGUGUUUUUUUUUUCACUUUUAGCAUCACCGUUGAUCUGCUAUGCUGGCUGCUAUUGCUACGUUCCAGCUGGGCCACUCUCCAGAGUGUUGUAGCAAACGCAGCAGGCUUCCACCUUUAACACCUCGCUUGCUCACUUCAACUUCUAUAUACGUAUGCAUCGAUCUCACCAGUCGAACGACACAGAAGCGAAACUUGCUCGCUGCACAUUCUGACGGAGUAUCCGUGCUGUGUUUGGCACGGCUCGUUAGACGAACCCGCAGAGACUGCACUUUUUUCUUCCUCGCCCUUUGACAUUCGCGCAUUUUUUAUCUAAAACUAUUCUUAAACUGUCGAUUUUGCACUUUGAGUGUGAACUUGUUGCGACGAAAGUGAUUGCUAGUUUUUUAUUACGAAGAGUCGAGCUUUACCUAUUGAAAAUAAAUUGUUUUUAUGUAUCGCAAGGUGCUAAUUAAUCUUCGUGCGUGCACAUGAAUCGUGUCGAUCGUGCAGGUUGAGCGCGAACUUGUCGUGAAUGAAAGUGACUCUUUCAAUAACGGUCCGUUCUUUCCAACCAGAAAAGGUGAGACCUACUCCAGGCAAAUCUUUCGAAAUGUGGUAACUUGGCAAUUAUCUUUAGUGGAAUCGUUCGUGGAGAACAUUUGGGAAACACAAUCGAGUGUAAAUUGGACCUCGCUCGCAAAGCAGAAGCUGCAUGAGUUGAGCGUCGUUGGCAGACGAGUUCCGGGCCAAUACUUGAUGAAAUUUGAAAAAUAAUUCGUUGAAUCUCAAAAAGAGCUGAGUGAGUUUACAAUUGUGAAGUCGACCGAAAAGUCGUUUCAGAAGCAAAACGAAGUCUCGACUUUCUCGGACGAAGCAAAGAAUAAUUUCGAAAGGAAAAAAAGAAAUUUGAAGAGGUGACCGGGGAAGAGAAUCGCGAAGAGAACGAGAGGCAAUGAUGGGUAGGAAACGGUCGAAGUGGAAAAUUGGGUUCUAGCGAACACUGCACUUCGGUACGAAGGUCAACAGCGAAGUUCUCCUUUCGAUCUCUCUUAAGCAGUUCCCAAUGGUUGUUGGGAGAGAGUUGAGCUCGAGGGAAAAGCGUGAAAAUGAAGAAAAGGAAGAUCGAGGGUGGAAAGAGCCAUGGGGUGAGAGUACAACUGUUGCUAAGCUCGAACAACUUCAGCCAACUGUGCACCACAGCCAAGGAAACAACUGGCAGCAGUUGCGCCGACCUCCGGGCCACCCUGCACUAGCAGAAUAGUUAUUAUAACUCCAUGGACAAUCUUACAUCUCCAUCGAGCAUAACAAACACGGCUUACGAUGCUGUAUUUUAGUCAUGUGUACAUUUUAAUGUACGCAGUAAACUUGGCGAAAAGUAACAAAACUUUCGACUUGGACUCAUUGGAAUUCCAGCAAAACGAAGUAAACACUGUAACUGAUAUUUUUUACAUUGAUUCUAAGAAUUUUGUGGGUACCGUUUUAUCAAAAAUUCAUUUAAAAAAUGAGAAGAGAAUCUGAGGAAAAAGGAAUCGUUGUGAAAUCAGAGUCUCUAGUAAGCAGCUUCAAUGCUCCCUCCAAUUUUUUUCCUCCCAAUAAUUAGUGAUAACAAAAAAUAUUAUACUCGGGCUCUGAUAAAAAAAACAGCAACUCUUUUCCAGACAUAUUUCAUUCGAAGUAAUUUUAAUUGACUGUGUGGCUUUGCUCACGUUAAAGAAAUAUUCGAAAUUGAUAAUGAUCAUUCCGGCAUCUCAAAUUCAGUAUUUUCAAUAAAUUAUGUUAUCUUUAAAAAGAA